UGCAGAGCAGCGCCGGUUAUCCGGCGUUAAUGCGGGCCAUCAGGCGCGGUUGCAACCCCGC
rnacentral:ribozyme from 1 species